CAUUUUAAUAUUUUAAUAAUACCUGAAUCUGCUCAGAGAGAGAAAUAAAAACCUGGUGAAAUGAAACCAAGUUACUGAUGGUUUCUGACAAAGUCACACAAUCACAAACAUCGGUGUGACAUUCGUUCACAAACAAAGUGCUCUUAUUGUGAAAAAUCUACCUCCUCCCCCCUCCCACCUGUGCUGAGCUUCAGGUGGAGUCCCGCCUCCUUCCAGGAAGCAGCUCCGGUCCGUGUUUAGUGUCUAGGUGUGGAGUGGAGCUUGUUGUUGGUGUGUUAUGAAGAAACUGUGAAGGUAGAAAGUGUGUGUGAGCUGAUGUGGAUGUGAAUUCAGCAGCAUGGAUCUGAGCAACACUCGAGUUCAGAGGAACCAGCCUGAACCCGAAGCUGAACCCGAAGCUGAACCCGAACCUGUAUCUGGGCUAGAAUGUAUUUGCCAGUCUGCAGAUACCCGCAUCAAUCUUUUUGAAGUCCAGCAGGCAUCUGCUGCAGAGAGGAGUGUGUCCGUAAGGCGUAUCCAGUCACUGGAUCCUCUGAUAUAUUUUCACAGAGGACCAGGUGCUGCUGCUACGGAGAGGAGUGUGUCCGUAAGGCGUGUCCAGUCACUGGAUCCUAUGAUAUAUUUUCACAGAGGAUCAGCAGCUGCUGCUACGGAGAGGAUCUUUCAAGGACCAAGUUCUGAUGGAUCUCCACCCAGCUGA
rnacentral:lncRNA from 1 species